AGUUCCAUCGAAUCUUAUCAAGAACUGGUGUUUCUGAUGAGAACUUACAGAAAGAUACAAAACGAUCACAGGAAAUGGAGAAAAACAAAACAGAGGAGACUGCAAGAAGAGUUGGAUAAAAAAACAGAGCCAACUAGCAAAAGCUAAAACCCAUUCUCCGCUGGAAAAGAGAGAGGAAAAGCUGUUGGUCCUCUGCAUACAAUGCCCACAGUCGUUGGUCCUCCGCCUACAACGACCGGAUCGACGGACGUCCCCAUGUACGCCUCAUGUGCUUCUUCUCCGUCUUGAAUCCCAGCCCAUGCGCCAAACUGAUUCCUACCGCCAGCAAAGUCCCCUUUGUCGGUCCCGGAACAGAGCCUGGCUCGCUUCGCGCCUCCCUCGAUGGCGUCCGUCGCAAGGCCGGGGAGAUGGUCCAGUAGCUUGGAGUCUCCGGCCACCUUGACUAGAAACGCCAGCAUCUGCCUCGGCCGGCGCUCUGUCUCCUGCACUCUGGUCCACAUCCCUUCCAUCCUCUCCUCGAUCCUCCUCUGCUCCUGCUUUAGCCUCACCACCUCCGCCGCCACCUUCUCCUCCUCCUCCUCCACUUCCUCCUCCUCCCACCCCUCCUCCUUCUUCUUCCCACUGCUACCGCUGUUCCUCCGAACUAUUAGCCUCAGCAGAUGCGUCUGGCCACGCAGGAACGACGAGUGAGCGAAUUCCCACCGAUUCGGAUCCACCUUGCGAAAACCCUGCGAUUGAUCGUUGAAAUCAGAUGCUCCACAAAAGGCAAACUGUAAAAUCUUUAGCACUCACGUAAGUAUUAAGCUGGCGGACGAAGCUGGAAAAGUUACUGUGCUUGAAGUAGGAAGGGAGGAGCGCCUGCGAGAAAGCGAAAGGGUCCACGACGACGAAGCUGUUGUUGUCGUGGCCCCAUCCUAUGACGGUGUCCGUCGACGGAUCGUCCACCAUCCAAUAAGUCUUCAGCACGAAGGGAGCCGCCACCGAGCCCCCCCGGCCGCCGCCUUCACCAUGGCGGUGGUGAUAGUGAGCGGUGCUGUUGCGGCCUAGUCCCGAGCGAAGGGCGAAAAACAGGGAGAAGACGACGGUUACCAGUACCUCAUCCGACGCGUGUCCCUCAGCGGCGACUCCUCCAUGACUUCCCAUCCACCAAAUUUAUUAUUUAAACCUCCAAAGACGACGAAACACGAGUAGAAAUUUUUGACAUCGAUUGUAGCUUCCUUCCAUCGUCGGAGUGAAAUUUAUUUCCCUAAAUCCACAAACUUUUCUCCUUCGAAUCUUUUUCACCGUAUCUUCUCUGGUAGAUCAAAAAGAUUAUGCAGCAAGGUGAUGAAAUGCGAUUGCGCCACGUACUGGCCAACGACAAAGCAUGUAAUGCAGCAACGACGUACAGAUCAUGCCCCAACCGCUCUAUGGUUCCACUCCAACGCUGCCGAAGAUGGCGGUGAUCCAGCUUUGCAAUGGGCUCAGCCGUCCGACAGGUGGAGUACAACUUUUGUGGAAGAAAGUUUGACAGCACUGGUACUUAUGUUCCAUUCCAGCGAGCCGUGUAAACUGCCUCUUAAUUUGUCUUAUCUAAGUCAAAAUAAUAUGAAAACAAAAUUUCGGUGUAACUUUUAUCAAUCCAAAUACGAGCAUAGCGCAUCAAUAAUACAUGAUAAGUGUUAAACCUAAGGAAAAAAGAGGCAGGUGCCUUUUUAUUUUUUUUAACAUUACUUGCUUAAUAGUUAAUUUGUUCUUUC